rnacentral:pre_miRNA from 2 species
CGAAUAAGUGAAUAAAGAGAGCUGUCCGUCGACAGUCCAGAAACUAUUUAAUAUCACUGUCAUGGAAUUGCUCUCUUUGUAUAAUAUUCG